AGGAUUCAAACAUUAAUUACAAACCACUAGAAUUACCCCAGAUGCUCAGAUGAAACAAUCUAUACUUGAGAAUAAUCUACUUUAUUAAGAAGGCUUCUGCUGGAUUCAAUGCAACUCAAAGGAAAGGGGUAGCAAGGAGCUCCCCAGAGACUCUGGAGCUGUGGUGCCAUUUGUUACAUAGACAUAAGAUCAAGUUACAGUGAAGAAGAAAGUUCUUUUAUUCUGUCCUAGCUUCGCAGUGAGCGCCUCUCUGCCUGGUUUGAUCAUUUUCUUCAUUACUUUUCACAUUCACAAGCUGGAAUCAGCCCAAUUCAGCGUGACCGGUCCUGAUCACCCUGUCACUGCCCGGAUAGGGAAAUAUCUUGGAGAAAUCAAGGAACAGGUUACAGAAAUUGGUAAGUGUCAUGCUCUUUCUCCCAUAAAACUUUUGUACAAAUUCCUCUCCUCAUAAGAUUGUUUGUUUGUUUAUUUGUUUAUUUUUGGGAGGAGUUUUUUUAACAAGAAAAAGAUGAAAGCCCUGAUGCUGCACCACUACCAUCAGUUAGACCUUCCCCAUUGACUUC